rnacentral:piRNA from 1 species
UGUGCAUACAGACAUAAAUUCCCCCA